CACGCAGGCGGUCUAUUAAGUCAGAUGUGAAAGUUUGCAGCUUAACUGUAAAAGUGCAUCUGAUACUGGCAGACUUGAGUCUCGGAGAGGUAAGCGGAAUUCCUAGUGUAGCGGUGAAAUGCGUAGAGAUUAGGAAGAACACCGGUGGCGAAGGCGGCUUACUGGACGAGUACUGACGCUCAGGUGCGAAAGCGUGGGGAGCAAACAG
rnacentral:rRNA from 1 species